UCCUCUGAUCAAACUUCUCUCUGGCUCACAGAAGUCACUGUAAAACCUCUUCCACACAGGAGUGUGGUGGUGAAACCCAGCUUCCUAACUCCAGCCAGAUGGCUGAUCUCAGUCUUCCUUCAUAGAAGGCUAAUUCAAAAAUAGUGAUGUUUCUGUCAAUUUAAAAACAUUUAUUCUAGGACCCUUUUCAAUGUUCCUGCAGAGGUGUAAGUGAUGAAGUCAGCAGCUCAGUCCCCAGCCCAGCCAGCACCCGUGUGUGCUGCAGGCAGCCAGACUUCCACACAGGCAGCAUCCCUCAUUUCACACUUGUUUUAUUUCUGUUGUUUCUCAAUGCUGAUGAAACACCUCAUUUGCUCAUACCAGUGUUGUUCUGUCAUUCUCCACAGGUCUCCUCAAAGAUCCUGGUGCGGGCACUUGGGUGAAGGUUUCAUUUCCUUGGACUGUAAAUGUUCUUUGGAGUCUCAGGCACUUCCCUGCAGCAGAACUUGGAGGAGAAACAUGUCAAACACUCUCUGCUUGGGGUCAGGGCUUGCAAGAGGAGAAAAACAACCCAGGACUCUGGCAGGUGUGGAAGUGACAAUUCCAGCAGUAGAACAGAGUCAGCCCUGCAGCAGCAGCAGCUACAGUAGAAACAACCCCUCCCUGCUACAGGUGAGCCCUCAAAGCCCUCCGUGGCCUGUUAAAGCUUGGAGGACAAGGGCAGGGAGGGCUGUCAUGGGAAUCUUCACUAAAAGCUCUGUGUUGAUGGAGCAACCAAGCCCUGCAUGUGCCACCAGUUCCCCAGGGAAGCAAGCCUUGUCUCUGGGUGUGUGAUUAAGCCAGAGCCUUGUUCCAGCAGUAUUUGCUCACCCUCCUGUUGGCCCUCCCAGGCCUCUCCCUGCUGUGGUCUCUGUUCCCAGGACCUGCUCACAUCACCUUGGAUGAUACCUCUGGCUGCCCACCCAGCCAGGGCAGCUCAGGGGUUGUUGGGGCAGCCACUGUCCCCCAUGCUCUGUCCCUCAGCUCUGGGUUUGAUGUCCCAGUGGCUGCUGCUGCCGUCUUACAGCCCCUCAGGCAGAAAACGGAUCACUCCAGAGCUGUGGGGGCUUUCCACAGGACACCAAGCUCUCCUCAUGGUGUACCCCACACCUUCCUUGCUCUUCUGCUCUCUGAUCCUUCAGGGAGCUGUUUGAGCUCACCAAGUUCUCCCUUCCCCCACAUCCCUGAGCUUUCUGCUGUUCCUGACUGAGAAUGGCAGGAGCAGGAUUGGACUGGGAUGCUCUGACCCUUCUGACAGCAGCUCAGCCAACGGAUGAAGGCACAUUUUUAUCAGCACGUGCUUGUUUUUGUGAACAUUAAUCAUAUAAAACUACUGGA